rnacentral:rRNA from 1 species
GGUCAAGACGGAAAGGGCAUACGGCGGAUGACUUGGCAUCAGCGAGCGAAGAAGGACGCGGCAGGCUGCGAAAAGCCACGGGAAGCUGCGAGCAAGCUUUGAACCGUGGGUAUCCGAAUGGGGAAACCCCUCCAGGGUCAAGCCUGGAGACCGCAUGCUGAAUAAAUAGGCAUGCGGGGCCAACCCGGGGAAGUGAAACAUCUCAGUACCCGGAGGAAGAGAAAUCAAAAGAGAUUCUCCUAGUAGCGGCGAGCGAACGGGGAAGAGCCCAAACCGAGCACUCAACCCAGGCUAUGUUAUCUGGAGGCCGCAAGAAGCGGGGCUUAACCGGCAAGAUUCCAGGUGGCGUGGUUUUGGUUGAGUGCUCGGGGUUGUAGGACCGCAUUUAGCGCAAGUUGCUUUAGCCGAAGCGUCUGGAAAGGCGCACCAUAGAGGGUGACAGUCCUUUAGGCGAAAAGGUGGCAAGCGCGAGCGGUAUCCUGAGUACCACGGGGCACGUGAAACCCCGUGGGAAGCUGGGGAGACCACUCUCCAAGGCUAAAUAUUGCUGAUGACCGAUAGUGCACCAGUACCGUGAGGGAAGGUUGAAAAGAACCCCGGUGAGGGGAGUGAAAUAGAACCUGAAACCGUAUGCCUACAAGCUGUCAGAGCGGAGCAAUCCGUGAUGGCGUGCCUUUUGAUUAAUGAGCCGGCGAGUUACCAGCACUGGCAAGGUUAAGGCCUUAAGGGCCGGAGCCGUAGGGAAACCGAGUCUUAAUAGGGCGAAUAAGUCGGUGUUGGUAGACCCGAAGCCAGGUGAUCUACGCAUGGUCAGGGUGAAGUGGGAGUAAAAUCUCAUGGAGGCCCGAACCGGUGUUUGUUGCAAAAAGCUCGGAUGAACUGUGUGUAGGAGUGAAAGGCCAAUCAAACCUGGUGAUAGCUGGUUCUCCCCGAAAUGUAUUUAGGUACAGCCUCGGUUAUGAGCGAUGCGGGGGUAGGGCGCUGACUGGGCUAGGGCGGCAGAAGCCGUACCAAACCCAAUCAAACCGCGAAUACCGCAAAGUGCUUACCGGGAGUGAGAGUGCGGGUGCUAAGAUCCGUGCUCGAGAGGGAAACAGCCCAGACCGUCAGCUAAGGUCCCCAAGUCGAUGCUAAGUGGUAAAGGAUGUGGUGUUGCUUGGACAGCAAGGAUGUUGGCUUAGAAGCAGCCAUCAUUUAAAGAAAGCGUAAUAGCUCACUUGUCAAGCGGCGUUGCGCCGAAAAUCCAACGGGGCUCAAGCAUCGCACCGAAGCUGCGGACUUGCAAGAGUGGUAGGGGAGCAUUGAGCGUGCAGUGAAGGCGUGCCGCGAGGCAUACUGGAGCGCUCUCAAGAGAUUAUGCCGGCAUAAGUAUACGUAAAUCCUGAUGAGAAGUCAGGACGCCGUAAACCUAAGGUUUCCUGGGGAAGGGAAAUCCGCCCAGGGUUAGUCGGUCCUAAGGCGAGGCCGGAAGGCGUAGCUGAUGGACAGCAGGUUAAUAUUCCUGCACCGUUUGCAUGGCGUUUGACCGAAGGGGAGACGCAGGAGGAUAGUUCGAGCCAGGAGUUGGGGCCUGGUCCAAGCGUUUAGGCUGGAAGGGGAGGCAAAUCCCCCCUUUCAUUAAGGCUGAGGCGUGACGGGGAAAGCAGUAAUGCCGAACUCGGGUGAUUCCACGCUGACCAGAAAAACCUCUAAGGGAGUCAUGCAGAUGACCGUACCGCAAUCCGACACUGGUAGGUGGGUAGAAGAUACCAAGGCGAUCGAGAGAACCCUCGCUAAGGAACUCGGCAAAAUAACCCCGUAACUUCGGGAGAAGGGGUCCCCCAGCAAUGGGGGCGCAGUGAAGAGGCCCAGGCGACUGUUUACCAAAAACACAGGUGCCUGCUAACCCGUAAGGGGAUGUAUAGGCACUGACGCCUGCCCGGUGCCGGAAGGUUAAGGGGAGGGGUCAGCCGCAAGGCGAAGCCCUGAACUGAAGCCCCGGUAAACGGCGGCCGUAACUAUAACGGUCCUAAGGUAGCGAAAUUCCUUGUCGGGUAAGUUCCGACCUGCACGAAUGGCGUAACGAUCUGGGCGCUGUCUCGGCGAGGGACUCGGUGAACUUGAGCAACCGGUGAAGACGCCGGUUACCUGCAACUAGACGGAAAGACCCCGUGCACCUUUACUACAGCUUGGCACUGAGCUUUGGUGGCGUAUGUGUAGGAUAGGUGGGAGGCUGUGAAACAGGGACGCUAGUUUCUGCGGAGCCAACCUUGAAAUACCACCCUUAUGCUUCCGGGGCUCUAACCUGCUCCCGUUAUCCGGGAGAGGAACACUGUCUGGCGGGUAGUUUGACUGGGGCGGUCGCCUCCCAAAGAGUAACGGAGGCGCCCAAAGGUCUCCUCAGGCUGGACGGAAACCAGCCGUUGAGUGCAAAGGCAUAAGGAGGCUUGACUGCGAGACCGACAGGUCGAGCAGAUGGGAAACCAGGGCUUAGUGAUCCGGUGGUUCCUUGUGGAAGGGCCAUCGCUCAACGGAUAAAAGGUACGCCGGGGAUAACAGGCUUAUCGCGUCCAAGAGUUCAUAUCGACGACGCGGUUUGGCACCUCGAUGUCGACUCAUCGCAUCCUGGGGCUGAAGUAGGUCCCAAGGGUUCGGCUGUUCGCCGAUUAAAGCGGUACGAGAGUUGGGUUCAGAACGUCGUGAGACAGUUCGGUCCCUAUCUGUUGCAGGCGCAGGAGAAUUGAGGGGUCCCGUCCCUAGUACGAGAGGACCGGGAUGGACGGACCUCCGGUGUUCCGGUUGUCGCACCAGCGGCAAUGCCGGGUAGCCGUGUCCGGAUGGGAUAAACGCUGAAAGCAUCUAAGCGUGAAACCCGCCCCAAGAUUAGUUCUCCCGGGGUGUAUGCCCCCUAAAGGUCCCUGGUAGACUACCAGGUCGAUAGGCUGGAGGUAUAAGCACAGUAAUGUGUUCAGCCGACCAGUACUAAUAGACCGUGUGGCUUGACCCA